AAUAGAUAGAUAAUAAGAAAUGUAAUCUUCAAGUAAAUGCUCAAAGAAAAAACAAUGGCUAAGACUUAUGAACACAUACCAUUUGCUUCAUGCUAAUGGCAAUACUCUGGGGGAAAUAUUACUGUUAUUGACAUUUUAAAAUUAGAGAAAUGGAGGCCCAGGGAGGUUAAGUAAUUAGCUCAGGGACACACAGCCAUUAGAUGACAGAGUCUGACAGUCUAGCCUCAGAGUCCAUGCUCUUCAUCAGCCUGCCCUGCAAUGGCCACGAGACUGUUUGAUAUGGUCCCUCAGCUGACUUUGGAAGCCUGAACAUGGCAUGUGAAUGAGGGCCUGCUUCUCCUUCCCCUUCCGCCAUGAUGCUCAGGGAUCUUACGGCGUGGCUGCUGCAGGGAAGUCAGACCACCUACUUGGAGGCUCAGGGGCCUCGCUCUGGAAGCAGGAGGCGGAAGCCUCUAAUCUUGGGCCUGGCAAUUGGCACAACCUUACUUCUGCCCUAUUCAAUUGUUCAAGCAAUCACAGAACCCUCCUGGCUUUAGCAGGAGGGGGCAUGGACCCCACAUCUUAAUGGGAGCAAUGGCGAAGAAUUUAUAGUCAUCUUUAAUCUGUCAUACCCGCUGAGAAGAAAUAGAUUUUCUGCCACCAGAAAGGUUGAAAGUCACAUGUGUUUUUCUCUUACAUCAUCGUUCUUCUGAAGUGAUGGCAACAGCUCAGCCCAGCUGCCACCUGAUUGGGCAAAGGGUCCUAGAAGAAGGAAAUAUAGAAGGGGAAGAAUCUUGGCUAUUUUAAAAUGUCAUUGCAUGCAUUUAUGCAACCAAGAAAUCCACAGAGUCAAAUAAUAUGUAACAAUUCAGAAAGAUCUUCAGAAAGAUCUUUUUACAAUUUUUCCUUUUCUAAAAAAAUAUAUUUUUUCUUUUGAGACAGUCUUGCUCUGUCGCCCAGCCUAGCUAUUUUUGCAUAUAGCUCUCAAUACUUAUGUAUUCAUGUUUUAAAAAGUAAUAUACUGUAAACACAUUUUGUAACCAGGUUUGUAUGCUUACCAUCUUAUCUUCAAAAGAUCUUGAUUCACUGCAACUUCUGCCUCCUGGGUUCAAGUGAUUCUCUGUCUCAGCCUCCCAAGUAGCUGGGAUUACAUGUGUGUACCAUCAUGCCUGGCUAAUUUUUUUGUAUUUUUAAUGGAGACCAGGUUUCACUAUGUUGGCCAGGCUGGUCUCAAACUCCUGGCCUCAAGUGAUCCUCCUGUCUCAGCCUCCCAAAGUGCUGGGAUUACAGGCAUGAGCCACUGCGCCCAGCCCAUGAAGAUCUUUUGGAGAUAAAAUGGUAAGCAAAAGACCUGGCUACAAAAUGUGUUUACAGUAUGAUACUACUUUUUAAAUCAUGAAUAUGUAAAUGCCAAUCACUAAAUGCAAAAAUAUUAGCAGUAGUUUAUCUGUAGAAGAGAUUCCGGCACACUUUAAUGUGAUUCUGGCACAUUUUAGUGUUUUCUGUUUGGGUGUGUUUUUGAUGUUUUAAAACAUGGAUAUGUGUCUUUUUUUAUUUCUGGAGAAAAGAGGUUAUCAUAAAACAAAAAAAAAGUACCGUUGCAGCCAGGCGUGGAGGCUCAUGGCUAUGAUCCCAGCACUUUAUAUGGGAGGCCAAGGCAGGUGGAUCAUUAGGUCAGGAGUUUGAGACCAGCCUGGCCAAUAUGGUGAAACCCCAUCUCUACUAAAAAUACAAAAAAUUAGCUGGGUGUGGUGGGGCGUGCCUGUAGUCCCAGCAACUCAGGUGCCUGAGGCAAGAGAAUCACUUAAACCCAGGAGGUGGAGGUUGUAGUGAGCUGAGAUCUAAAAGAAAAAAAUAAGGAAAGUACUGUUGCAAUGACUUGAAUGUUUGUUUUCCUAUAAAAUGUGUAUGUUGAAACUCUAAUCCCAAGGUGACGGUAUUAAGAGGUAGGGAUUUGGGGAAGUAAAUAGGUCAUGAUGGUGGAGCGCUCAUAAAUAGGAUUAGUAGUCUUAUACAAGGGACCCCAGUCUGGGCUUGGUGGCUCAUGCCUGUAAUCCCAGCACUUGGGAGGCUGAGGUGAGCAGGUUGCUUGAGUCCAAAAGUUUGAGACCAGCCUGGGCAACACGGUGAAACCUCAUCUCUACUAAAAAUACAAAAAUUAGCUGGAUGUGGUGGUAUAUGCCUGUAGUUCCAGCUACUCAGGAGGCUGAGGAGGGAGGAUCAUUUGAGCCUGGGAGGCAGAGGAUAAGUGAGCUGUGAUUGUACCAGUGCACCCUGGCCUGGGUGACAAAGUGAGACCCUGUCUCAAAAAAAAAAAAAAAAAAGACCCCACAGAGCUCUUGUGCCUUCUUUCCAAUAAGAAGUUGGCAGUGUGCAGGCCAUAGAGGACCCACACCAGAACCAUGCUGGCACCCUGAUCUUGGACUUCCAGCUUCCAAAACUGAGGAAUAGUCAGGGUGCAGUGGCUCAUGCCUAUAAUCCCAGCACUUUGGGAGGCUGAGACAGGAGGAUCACUUGAGGCCAGGAGUUUGAGACCAGCCGUGCCAACAUGGUGAAACCCCACUUCUACUAAAAAUACACAGGUUAGCCGGGCAUGGUGGCAUAUGCCUGUAAUCCCAGCUACUUGGGAGGUUGAGGCAGGAGACUCUUUCGAACCAGCAGGCGAGGUUGCAGUGAGCUGAGAUUGCACCACUGCACUCCAGCCUGGGUGACAGAGCCAGAUUCCAUCGCCAAAUAAUAAAUAAAUAAAUAAAUAAAUAAAUGCCUGUUGUUUUUAGGCCACCCAGUUUAUGGUAUUUUGCUAUAACAGCCCCAACAGGCUAAGGCAACUGUCCUGUGAAUUAUUAACUAGUUAGCUCUUUAUACAAACUCUACUGAGCAUCUAACAUCUACCGAUUACCAGUCUACUCACUGCCAUGAACAAGUCAGACAGGGUCCUUGUUGUCCUGGAGCUCCUGGUCUGGAGAAGCGCCUGGACUGAUCUUUGGUAGUGGCAUCUGAAUCCAGAGCUUCCUGAGUUCUGCUCCCAGAGGAC
rnacentral:lncRNA from 1 species